GACGAACGCUGGCGGCGUGCUUAACACAUGCAAGUCGAACGGAAAGGCCCCUUUGGGGGUCCUCGAGUGGCGAACGGGUGAGUAACACGUGAGUAACCUGCCCUUGACUUCGGGAUAACUUCAGGAAACUGGGGCUAAUACUGGAUAGGAAUCCUUGCUGCAUGGUGGGGGUUGGAAAGCUUCGGCGGUUUUGGAUGGACUCGCGGCUUAUCAGCUUGUUGGUGGGGUAGUGGCUUACCAAGGCUUUGACGGGUAGCCGGCCUGAGAGGGCGACCGGCCACAGUGGGACUGAGAUACGGCCCAGACUCCUACGGGAGGCAGCAGGGGGGAAUAUUGCACAAGGGGCGGAAGCCUGAUGCAGCAACGCCGCGUGCGGGAGGACGGCCUUCGGGUUGUAAACCGCUUUCAGCAGGGGCGAAGCUUGUGGUGACGGUACCUGCAGAAGAAGCACCGGCUAACUACGUG
rnacentral:rRNA from 1 species